rnacentral:rRNA from 1 species
UACGGGGGGGGCAAGCGUUGUUCGGAAUUAUUGGGCGUAAAGCGUAUGUAGGCGGCAAAGUAAGUCAGGCGUGCAAGCCCGUGGCUCAACCACGGAAUUGCGUUUGAAACUACUUAGCUUGAGUACGGGAGAGGAAAGCGGAAUUCCCAGUGUAGCGGUGAAAUGCAUUGAUAUUGGGAAGAACAUCUGUGGCGAAGGCGGCUUUCUGGUCUGUUACUGACGCUGAGAUACGAAAGCCAGGGGAGCAAAGGGG